rnacentral:rRNA from 1 species
CUACGUGCCAGCAGCCGCGGUAAUACGUAGGUCCCGAGCGUUGUCCGGAUUUAUUGGGCGUAAAGCGAGCGCAGGCGGUUAGAUAAGUCUGAAGUUAAAGGCUGUGGCUUAACCAUAGUACGCUUUGGAAACUGUUUAACUUGAGUGCAAGAGGGGAGAGUGGAAUUCCAUGUGUAGCGGUGAAAUGCGUAGAUAUAUGGAGGAACACCGGUGGCGAAGGCGACUUUCUGGACUGCAACUGACGCUGAGGCUCGAAAGCCAGGGGAGCGAACGGGAUUAGAUACCCCGGUAGUCCUGGCCGUAAACGAUGGAUACUAGGUGUGGGAGGUAUCGACCCCUACCGUGCCGGAGUUAACGCAAUAAGUAUCCCGCCUGGGGAGUACGGUCGCAAGACUGAAACUCAAAGAAAUUGACGGGGGCCCGCACAAGCGGCGGAGCAUGCGGAUUAAUUCGAUGCAACGCGAAGAACCUUACCAAGGCUUGACAU